rnacentral:tRNA from 1 species
AUUUAGAUAGUUCAAACAGAAUAUAACGUUGAAAUCGUUAAGAUACCUUCGUUCUAAAUG